rnacentral:rRNA from 1 species
CCUACGGGGGGCUGCAGUGGGGAAUAUUGGACAAUGGGGGCAACCCUGAUCCAGCCAUGCCGCGUGUGUGAAGAAGGCCCUCGGGUUGUAAAGCACUUUCAGUGAGGAAGAACGCCUGGUGGUUAAUACCCAUCAGGAAAGACAUCACUCACAGAAGAAGCACCGGCUAACUCCGUGCCAGCAGCCGCGGUAAUACGGAGGGUGCGAGCGUUAAUCGGAAUUACUGGGCGUAAAGCGCGCGUAGGUGGCUUGAUAAGCCGGUUGUGAAAGCCCCGGGCUCAACCUGGGAACGGCAUCCGGAACUGUCAAGCUAGAGUGCAGGAGAGGAAGGUAGAAUUCCCGGUGUAGCGGUGAAAUGCGUAGAGAUCGGGAGGAAUACCAGUGGCGAAGGCGGCCUUCUGGACUGACACUGACACUGAGGUGCGAAAGCGUGGGUAGCAAACAGGAUUAGAUACCCCGGGUAGUC